AUGCUUUAUUGAAAGUGUUUAAAUUGGUGUUUUGGAAUGUGUUAGUUUGGUAGAAUUUGAUUUGGGAAUUUUCUAGAAUUUAAAAAUGCAUUCUAGGAUUUUAUUUGGAUUUAUUUAAAGCUUAAAGGCAUUAAAACUAUGUUUAUGAUUUUAUUUUUGAGUGGGAAUAAUUUUCCUGGACUCUAAAUGAAAUAUAUUAUUUUACAGAAGUUUUGGGAAUUUUUCUGAACCCAUUUGAUAUUUUAAGUGAUUUAAAAGGAUUUUCUGGUGAAUUAUAGAUCCUGAAAAGUAUUUCUGUUUUAUUCUUUUUCUUUUUCUCUGAAAGUACACUUUCCACGC
rnacentral:lncRNA from 1 species